rnacentral:lncRNA from 1 species
UUUUUUUUCUUUUUUUGCAGAAAAAUGAAAUCUGAAAAGUAGAUUUGGAGAAAUGGUAGUUGGACAGUAGUAUUCUGUUUUUGGUAUCAGUAUAACAUGUGUAAUCUGGUCUGAAAACAGUUCCUUUCUUGUGUUUAUGUUAGGUGAGUGGGAAAUUUGCGUUUAUUUCCUCAUUACUAGUAGUACUGUAUUUGUUUUGGUUGGAAAGGCAUCUGCCAAUUCGCCACAUGUAUUGUUGUUGUGUACUUCUAUAUUGGCAGAUAGAUUGACUCUAUUUCUGGCUC